rnacentral:rRNA from 1 species
CACAAGCAGCGGAGCGUGUGGUUUAAUUCGAUGCUACACGAAGAACCUUACCAGGGUUUGACAUGCAAGUGGUAGGAAACUGAAAAGGGACCGACCCUUCGGGAGCUUGCACAGGUGCUGCAUGGCUGUCGUCAGCUCGUGUCGUGAGAUGUUCGGUUAAGUCCGCUAACGAGCGCAACCCUCACUGUGUGUUAUAUGUGUCACACGGGACUGCCGGUUUUAAGCCGGAGGAAGGUGGGAUGACGUCAAGUCAGCAUGGCCUUUAUAUCCUGGGCUACACACACGCUACAAUGGUCGGUACAAUAGGUUGCCAAGCCGCGAGGCGGAGCCAAUCCAAAAAAGCCGGCCUCAGUUCAGAUUGUAGGCUGCAACUCGCCUGCAUGAAGCCGGAGUUGCUAGUAACCGCAGGUCAGCAAUACUGCGGUGAAUACGUUCCCGGGUCUU